GACAGAGGGUGCGAACGUUGUUCGGAAUUACUGGGCGUAAAGCGCGUGUAGGCGGACUUGUAAGUCGGAUGUGAAAUCCCUGAGCUCAACUCAGGAACUGCAUUCGAAACUGCAAGUCUGGAGUGGUGGAGAGGGAAGCAGAAUUCCUGGUGUAGAGGUGAAAUUCGUAGAUAUCAGGAGGAACACCGAUGGCGAAGGCAGGUCUCUGGGCAUUAACUGACGCUGAGGAGCGAAAGCAUGGGGAGCGAACAGG
rnacentral:rRNA from 1 species